UGCUAUACAUGCAGUCGAACGAGUUCUGAUUAUUGAAAGGUGCUUGCAUCUUGAUUUAAUUUUGAACGAGUGGCGGACGGGUGAGUAACACGUGGGUAACCUGCCCUUAAGUGGGGGAUAACAUUUGGAAACAGAUGCUAAUACCGCAUAAAUCCAAGAACCGCAUGGUUCUUGGCUGAAAGAUGGCGUAAGCUAUCGCUUUUGGAUGGACCCGCGGCGUAUUAGCUAGUUGGUGAGGUAACGGCUCACCAAGGCAAUGAUACGUAGCCGAACUGAGAGGUUGAUCGGCCACAUUGGGACUGAGACACGGCCCAAACUCCUACGGGAGGCAGCAGUAGGGAAUCUUCCACAAUGGACGCAAGUCUGAUGGAGCAACGCCGCGUGAGUGAAGAAGGCUUUCGGGUCGUAAAACUCUGUUGUUGGAGAAGAAUGGUCGGCAGAGUAACUGUUGUCGGCGUGACGGUAUCCAACCAGAAAGCCACGGCUAACUACGUGCCAGCAGCCGCGGUAAUACGUAGGUGGCAAGCGUUAUCCGGAUUUAUUGGGCGUAAAGCGAGCGCAGGCGGUUUUUUAAGUCUGAUGUGAAAGCCCUCGGCUUAACCGAGGAAGUGCAUCGGAAACUGGGAAACUUGAGUGCAGAAGAGGACAGUGGAACUCCAUGUGUAGCGGUGAAAUGCGUAGAUAUAUGGAAGAACACCAGUGGCGAAGGCGGCUGUCUGGUCUGUAACUGACGCUGAGGCUCGAAAGCAUGGGUAGCGAACAGGAUUAGAUACCCUGGUAGUCCAUGCCGUAAACGAUGAAUGCUAGGUGUUGGAGGGUUUCCGCCCUUCAGUGCCGCAGCUAACGCAUUAAGCAUUCCGCCUGGGGAGUACGACCGCAAGGUUGAAACUCAAAGGAAUUGACGGGGGCCCGCACAAGCGGUGGAGCAUGUGGUUUAAUUCGAAGCAACGCGAAGAACCUUACCAGGUCUUGACAUCUUUUGAUCACCUGAGAGAUCAGGUUUCCCCUUCGGGGGCAAAAUGACAGGUGGUGCAUGGUUGUCGUCAGCUCGUGUCGUGAGAUGUUGGGUUAAGUCCCGCAACGAGCGCAACCCUUAUGACUAGUUGCCAGCAUUUAGUUGGGCACUCUAGUAAGACUGCCGGUGACAAACCGGAGGAAGGUGGGGAUGACGUCAAAUCAUCAUGCCCCUUAUGACCUGGGCUACACACGUGCUACAAUGGAUGGUACAACGAGUUGCGAGACCGCGAGGUCAAGCUAAUCUCUUAAAGCCAUUCUCAGUUCGGACUGUAGGCUGCAACUCGCCUACACGAAGUCGGAAUCGCUAGUAAUCGCGGAUCAGCACGCCGCGGUGAAUACGUUCCCGGGCCUUGUACACACCGCCCGUCACACCAUGAGAGUUUGUAACACCCGAAGCCGGUGGCGUAACCCUUUUAGGGAGCGAGCCGUCUAAGGUGACAGA
rnacentral:rRNA from 1 species